GGUUAUUGUGCGUUGAUGUAAUUUGUAUAUUUUAUGAAAAUGGUAUCGUUAUAUUGUGAAUUGUGAUACAAAACAUGAAUUGAAAGUCGGAAGUGUGCCCAGUGGGCUGCUCACGGGUAGGGGCUGUUUUCGGCCAAAAAUUUGGAGAAAUUGUGGAUUGUUGGAAAAAUUAUGUGAAUUUUUUAGAAUGUUCUUGAAUGUUGUUAGUAUGGGUUUGGGUUAAUAAUCGAAUGUACGAACGAUAUUGUGGCUUGAAAGUAAGCCAUUGAAUUGAAUAAUUGGAAAGUUGUCGAAUGGUGUAAAAGAGAGCUACUAUUAUUAUUUUGCCUUUCGAAUUGAUUAUCGAUGUUGCUAGGUUGGUUAUUGUGGUUGUUGUUGUUGAUUUUGAGCGAGUUAAAUUCUCGGGAUGGCCUAUUUAUAGGGGAAAUGCUGCCGAAUUUUCUGUAGAAUUUAAUGUUAGUUGGAAUAAAUGGCUUAAGUGCCUAUGUUUAAUAUUGGAUAUUCGUUGGCAUAUUUGUAGACCUUGGGGAGCCCGAGGCGUAGAUUGGAAUUUACUUUAUAUUGGCCAUCUUGGAGUGCGUACGAGGUACAGACGCACAGUUUGGUGAUCUACCCAUUUAGGACACCCUAUUCUGCUGUUUGGAGUGCUCUUCUCAUUUCAGAGCACACAUUUUGGUAUAUAUUCGUUCGCCAUGUAUAUAUGUAUUUGUUCAGGGGCACGGCGGGGCCCUGUCCCGCCAUAUGAUUCGGUUUGUCUGUUUAGAGGUCUGUAGACGUAUUUGUGGGUGUGUGUGCCUACUUCUGUACGGAUGUGUUUGCAUGACUCUAUUCGUUAUGGCAGCCUCGUCGGCGUGCAUUUUGUAUAUGUUUGUGGCAGCCUUGUCGGCGUGCAUUUGUAUAUGCGUUUUGGGCCGUUGUGCCAUUUGACAGCCUUGUCGGCUUUUGACAUAUUUGAUAGCCUUGCCGGCUUUUUGAUAUAUGUGCAUAUGUUCGGCGAUGUAUAUUCCGCCGCCUCUUCUGAUUCUGAUAUAAUGUUUUGUACGCGCAAUCGCGCAAGAUAA